GACGAACGCUGGCGGCGUGCUUAACACAUGCAAGUCGAACGGAAAGGCCCUGCUUUUGUGGGGUGCUCGAGUGGCGAACGGGUGAGUAACACGUGAGUAACCUGCCCUUGACUUUGGGAUAACUUCAGGAAACUGGGGCUAAUACCGGAUAGGAGCUCCUGCUGCAUGGUGGGGGUUGGAAAGUUUCGGCGGUUGGGGAUGGACUCGCGGCUUAUCAGCUUGUUGGUGGGGUAGUGGCUUACCAAGGCUUUGACGGGUAGCCGGCCUGAGAGGGUGACCGGCCACAAUGGGACUGAGAGACGGCCCAGACUCCUACGGGGGGCAGCAGUGGGGAAUAUUGCACAAUGGGCGGAAGCCUGAUGCAGCAACGCCGCGUGCGGGAUGACGGCCUUCGGGGUGUAAACCGCUUUCGCCUGUGACGAAGCGUGAGUGACGGUAAUGGGUAAAGAAGCACCGGCUAACUACGUG
rnacentral:rRNA from 1 species